GGGCUCCAAUUUGUUUGUACGGAGGAUCUACAGAAACAUCAAAUGUGAUUAGGGGUAUUUUGUGGAAGCGAAAGACCUACGCUACCUUGAAGCAUUUUGAUAGUGGAGGCAAUAACUUCGAGAAGCCCUUGAUACAUGGGAGGCCUAGCAACGCAGUAAUACCUGUAGAAAUUAAAAAGAUUUUGAGAUGGGGACAUGCUUUUAGCCCUGAGAUGUUUUCUUUUUGGUAAUUGAUGCGUUUUACCCAAGCUGUAAUUGAAUAUCUUGAUUUAGAAUUUGAGAGAUUGCUUUUCAUAAUGUAGAAAAGUUGACCAAAUUGUUAGACCCAUGUCAUUUUUAUAAUAUUUUUU
rnacentral:misc_RNA from 1 species